rnacentral:rRNA from 1 species
UACCAGCACCCCGAGUGGUCGGGACGAUUAUUGGGCCUAAAGCAUCCGUAGCCGGUCCUACAAGUCUUCCGUUAAAUCCUCCUGCUUAACAGAUGGGCUGCGGAAGAUACUAUAGGGCUAGGAGGCGGGAGAGGCAAGCGGUACUCAGUGGGUAGGGGUAAAAUCCUCUGAUCCAUUGAAGACCACCAGUGGCGAAGGCGGCUUGCCAGAACGCGCUCGACGGUGAGGGAUGAAAGCUGGGGGAGCAAACCGG